CCUGUCGGUGCGCACCGGGGCACAAAUUACAGACAGUCCGGUCUCAACUGCUAGAGAGCGUGAGAAAUAGAAAAUUAUUUGUAUCGCAAAUUCGGUGGCCAGGAUUCCAUCCUACUUAUUUGAAGAGCCUGAUGCCAGUGGGGAAGGAAGGAGCCGCCUUUAUCAGCCAGCCGCCAGCCCCGCGGCUUCCCUGCCCGGGAGGGAGCGGCUCCGGCUCGGAAGCUGAACCCCGUGCAAGGAUCCCCGAGCCAGCGGCUCGGGAGGGACAGAGCCGCCGGACGCCGAGCGGCCCUUGCUCGCCUCUGACUCGCUCCCACAGGCUCUGAGGCUGAGGCCAGCGCUCGCCGCCGGCUGUAGCCGAGCUCUGGCACGAGCGACCCUGCCCGGCGGGCCCGGCUGGGCUGGCAGCCAAAGGCACGAACAAACGCCGCCUGCUCUCCCACACUUAGAGAAGGAGCGGUACCGGUGGUCCGUGUAGCCCUGUCACAGCUAUAGAUCAUGAUCUUUAAUCCCCUUAAGGCUCAUAACAGAGUAGAACCCAAAACAUAACUUAUUCCUGACUGAAGGGCCACUGCCCCUCCACAGACUGACCACCACGGAGCAAUUGCUGUGUACUCAAGGUGGCCUAGUUAACUAGAGUUCAAUUAAUUACGUACAUAUCGUCAGGACACAAACAGCAUUAGAAUACUUCCUCUUCUUACCAUCUCAAAUGUUUCCUAUGAUAUACGUUUUAUAUAAAAGGUGAAGACAAAACCAGUUCUAAAAACUAAUGCAGAAAACAUUGUCUUACAACACAGAAAAUCUAUUAUGACUAUUUCACAGAGAUACUUUUAAAAACAGAUUACAUGAUAAAUUAUACUAAAACAAAUGAUAGACAAUCCUAAAUCCCAGUCCAGGAAUAUUCAGUGAAAGAAAUAAAUUUACAGGAUGACAAACUUUAACCAAUAGAGGAGAUUUUUUUUUUUUCCUCUUCACUUAAUAAGAUAUUCAUGAAAACACUUUACACCACUUUCUAGACACUUCUUACCUUUCUGCCUUUUUAAAUUGAGAUUAUGGGGUUUUUUCUUUAGAUAUUUUUCUUCAUCAUUUUUAAGAUGGGAAAAAGGAAAAAAGUUUCACAGGUAAAAACUUCAGUGAAGGUAUGCUGAUUUUUUCUGUGUAAGGGUCUGAUCUACACAGCAUCAAACUACAAUGAAAAUAUUGUCAAAUCCACCCAGCUUGUACUUUGGUAGAAAUUAACAGGAAAUUAAAACAUUGUAUUUUCCAUCAAAAUUUAUUGGAAGUUAAAAACUCAUAGCUGGCUACACUGAAUCUAAAAAUUACUGUACAAUUCCUCAGAGAGAAUAGAAGGAAAUAGAACAGAAAAAAAGAUGCACCAAUAUAAUCCAGUCUCUGCCUUUAGACCAGCUGGUUCAGUUUUGCAAAUACAAUACUUUUGCACUGUGCUAGGAAGCUAGACAUAAAAACUUGAGCUUCUACAGCAUAAAGUUAUUCUUAGUCUACACUGCUUAAUAAAGAAACAAAUGUUUCUGGUCGUUA